CAUAUUGGGAAGUUUUAAAUGAAUACAAGUAUAUAUCAUUUGUCUAUAGUAACCAAUAAAACAACAAAAACUAAAACCAGGGUUGUUUCUUAAAAAUCUGUUAAAAAUUCAUGUGGCGGCAUCAGGGUUCGGAGAACUACAUGUUAUUUUUAAAAACUACAUAAACUACAUUACAUGUAGUUAAUGUAGUUUAUGGAGAGGGUGUAGUCUUGGUGUAGUGUGGGGUGUAGUAUGGGGGUGUAGUUUAUGUAACCCAAAUACAUUUUAAUUAAAACGUAUUUGAUGUAACCUAUUAUAGAGUUUGUGGAAAACACUUUCAACCUACCAUGUUUGCGGAAAUUUGUCAAAGCCGUCUAAAGAAAUUUGCUGUUCCAACUUUAUUGAUGUCAGACAAUUCCAUGAUGGAAGUUGAAGCUACUAUUCCUGCUGUUCCUGUUACAUCUGAAGCUGUUUCGGAAUCUACUUCACCAGAUGUAAUCGCUAUUCCAUCAACAUCCAAGGCAGUUACAUCUGAAGUGCAGACAGUCCAA
rnacentral:misc_RNA from 1 species